CGCUUCCGCGUUGGUUGCAGAUACUAUGCAGGAAAUGCCACUGGACGGUGUGAGAGGUGCAACAGGAGCUGCAAAGCCUGCUGGGGCCCGCGGCCCACAGACUGCCUGUCUUAGGAUCCAUUUUUCUUUCUGCUCUGCUCCAAGGGAGAGUGUCAUCGCCCCUGCCUGCAGCACUACUACGCAGAGCAAAGCACGCAGACCUGUCAGAGGUGCCAUCCAACUUGCAAUAAAUGCAAAGAAUCAUUCAUCUUGGGGCAGUAGGUUGACUACAUAAAAAUGUCAGCGAGUGAGGAUGACAAGAUGAGAAAUCAGCUCCUUCCUCCUUCUGGGAGAAGACCAUCAACCACCCUUGCUGUCUAGCCACUGAGCUGACCUUCCUGAGCACUAUCUUGAUAAUAUUUUAAAAUAACUUCUUCCCAAGUGCUCCCCAAGUAGGUGAGGACACAGCAGGAAGGUGCCCAUACACAAGCCAGGAAAAGGGCGCUCACCGGGAACUGUCUGCCUUCAUCUUGAACUUCCCAGUCUCAGAG
rnacentral:lncRNA from 1 species